rnacentral:lncRNA from 1 species
CUGGCAUGGUCUAGCCUGGCUUGGAGCUCUUGCCUUGCCCUUAGCUGGAGGAACUGGACCUGCACAGCCAUAUAGCCAGCCCCAGGUUGAGAUGGAUUAAAAGUGACCUAAGGAAAUUAAG